UCCCUGGUAGUAUAUCGGUUUAGUACACGCGCCUGUCAUAGAAUUGAAUGCAUGACGAUGUAUUCGCGCGAAAGCUGGGUUCGACUCCCAGCCAGGGAG